rnacentral:misc_RNA from 1 species
GGUCGGCUUCCCAAAAAAACACGCAACGUUGACGCAGGGCGCGACUAGGACCCAAAUAACUCGACGCAAAGAGUUGCAAAAGUUGAGAAAUUGACUUCAUAGUAACGGCGGAACUGCGGCUUGUACGCACCUGAGUAGAGAAGAUGUUGCAAGAAGCCCAGCGAACAGUGGCGCCGACAGCCUGGAGGGU